rnacentral:lncRNA from 1 species
CCAGCACCACCUACACACACCCUGGUCACUGAGGACUUCUCGAACGAUGGCCUCACUGAUCUUAUCAUUGUGACCAACACCGGGGUGUACGGGUUCGUACAGACCAGGCAACCAGGCGCCCUCUUCUUCAGCACCCUGGUUGGUUGCCUCAUACUUGUAAUGGGAGUCGUAUUUGUUACCCAACACCUCAACUCCAUAAAGGGCAAACCUCGUGCUUCAUCUGCUCAGUGAAAGAAGCACUGCUUUCAUAAUGAAUAUACUAAACGAAUGAUUGCCACAGCCCUGAAGAAGCAAAGAGAGUUCAUUGAUAUCUUCCUUUGAUGAAGAAAAAUCGGC